UUACGUACUAACCAAAAUACCAAAAAUAUGUCUAUGUAUAGCUUUGUUUCUUUUGUAGGUAGUGUGUGCAUCCACCAAUGCCUCAUCAAGCUCACAACUAGGAUUUGAGACCCUAAAUGCAAGGAGAAUAAUCAAAGAGAUGGUUCACAUUGAUUCUAGACAUCAUAUAUGGAUCCCCAUUAUCUUUAUUUAUCAUUUUGAUCAAGAAAUCAUCAAGAGUUUGAAGCUUGUCUGCCUUGGAAGCCCU
rnacentral:lncRNA from 1 species